rnacentral:tRNA from 1 species
GAAGUGUUAGUAAAACAAUUACAUAGUUCUGUCGAGACUAAAUUACGGGUUAAACCCCCGUCCACUUCA